rnacentral:sRNA from 1 species
GCUGGGCAUGGUGGUGCAUGCCUGUAAUCCCGGUGGCUCUGGAGGCUGAGGCAGGAGGAUCACAAAUUCAAAGCCAGCCUCGGAAUUUAGUGAGAUCCUGUCUCAA